UGGUAACACAGCCAGCAGUCAUCAACUAGAUUAGGGUUGGGACCAAUAGGAACUGGAAAUUUGGCAUGAACGUGUUCUUUAAGGAGCUUGAUGGUAAAGGUGAGGCCAGUAUCUGUGCCUGAUUGAUAAAGGCGGAGGCCCCAUGAGAAUCCCUGUGCCCAAUCUUUGUACUUAGCAUGGUGUGUAAAUGUAAUGGACAGGGGGAGGCACCAACUCAAGGGGACAUGGUCAGAAGUUUUACAGAGAGGAUUGACAUUUAAAGAAUUCUGGGGGCGUGAAAAAGUCCAGGAGACAGUAAUAUAAUCCCAGGAGGAGGUAGGAUUCCAAUAGGCUGCUCCCGAGGUCUCACAACCCCAGCUGGCACAAUAAAAAUCAGCUUUGCCACCGCACUUAUGAUGGAAAGCUCAGCCACAAUAGUGCCCUGGGCAAACAUAAAAAUCUGUAUCUUAAAGUAAGGCUUGCCUGAUAGAAUUAUCACAGUCAAAUCUGACUGACUGAUGAACUGAAAUCCAGAAAUUGUGAGGAUUAUAACUCUGGGUGUGGACACAUUAUCUUCUGGGGCUUUAUAUAAAUCUAGCUGGUAUUCAAGACCCCAAGGGGCCACUACUCCCUGUGCUGAUCUACAGAGAUGGGGGUAAGGCUGGCUGGCCACCAAAUAUUGGUGGAAGUCUUGGAAGUAGCCCAGACAACAUCAAUUCUCUCUGAGAGGACCACCCAAGUGUAAUUCCAAGGGAUGUGUCUAUUAUUAGGAGAUUUGGGUGGAGGCAGUUGAAGGAUGGUGGUUAUUCUGGUCAGCCACAGGAUCAUGAGUAUCCUCACCUGGGGCAGCAUCUGGAAAAGAAAUGAGAUUUGUCUCAGGAGGAGAUGGUCACUCCAUUCUAGACACAGGUGGGUUAAUAGUUUUUACUAGCCUCUCUGGUAACCAUCUUGGACUAGGAUUUUCUUUGUCAUAGAUGCAAGCAGACCCUCAAAUAAGGAUGGGAUCUGGUCCUUUCCACUGUCCAGUGAGGGGAUCUCUCCAUCUCACUAAUGUGUGAGAAUCUUGUGGUUUAGGAUGCCACAGGUGGUCGUUGCCAACCUGCCCUCAUUGUCCAGGGACAAGAAGUUAAGAACAAAUGAUUGAGCCUGUUUCUAAGCGUCAAGGGGGAGUUAGCAUCUGUAACUUCAGCCAAGCACUGAAGCAUAUUUUUUAAAGUCUGAUGGAUUUGUUCUAUGAUGCCCUGGCCCUGAGGAUUAUAGGGAACACCAGUGACAUGUUUGAUGUCAAACUGGGAACAAAACUGUUGGAAUUUGGUCCCUGUAUAACUGGGGCCAUUGUCAGUUUUAAUGAUCUGUGGUUUUCCCAAGGCAGCAAUGCACUGUAAAGUAUGUGUUAUCACAUCAAGUGAUGCCUCUCCAGAAAGGGGAGACGGGCGCGUGUAUAAAUCCACUAAAUGUAUCAACUGUGACAUGUAGAUAUUUUAAACAUCCAAAGGAGGGAAAAUGGGUAAUAUCCACCUGCCAUAGUUCAUUAGGGAUGGGUCCCCUGGGGGUGACUCCCAGGUGAGGAACCAGCAGCAGAGUGGCACAUCCACCACAGGGCAUAACAAUUUCCUCUUGCUUGAUCUCUAGAAAUCUUGAACAUUUGGCAUUUAAAUGAUGCAAAGCACGAGCCCGUUUAGCCAAAUCUAUGGAAUCAAGUAGGGUGGGGAAUGCUGCACGAGUGGCCCAGUCUGCCAGGGCAUUUCCAUGUGACAGAGGACCACCCAGGCCAGAAUGGGGUCUCAAGUGUUCCACAAAAGGUAGCACUGUCCUUUUUUUU
rnacentral:lncRNA from 1 species